rnacentral:rRNA from 1 species
GACAGAGGUGCCAAGCGUUAGGCGGAAUCACUGGGCUUAAAGCGUGUGUAGGCGGACUUGUAAGUACCUUGUGAAAUCCCACGGCUCACCCGUGGAACUGCUGGGUAUACUGCGAGUCUUGAGCCACUUAGGGGCUGUCGGAACAGGCGGUGGAGCGGUGAAAUGCGUAGACAUCGGCUGGAACGCCAAAGGUGAAAACAGACAGCUGGGAGUGUGCUGACGCUGAGACACGAAAGCCAGGGGAGCGAACGGG